GACAGAGGUGCCAAGCGUUAGGCGGAAUCACUGGGCUUAAAGCGUGUGUAGGCGGCUCGUUUAGUACCUUGUGAAAUCCCACGGCUCAACCGUGGAACUGCUCGGUAUACUGGCGGGCUUGAGCCAUCUAGGGCUACCGGAACAAAUGGUGGAGCGGUGAAAUGCGUAGAUAUCAUUUGGAACGCCAAUGGUGAAAACAGGUAGCUGGGGAUGUGCUGACGCUGAGACACGAAAGCCAGGGGAGCGAACGGG
rnacentral:rRNA from 1 species